rnacentral:rRNA from 1 species
CUGGAGGUAUCAGAAGUGCGAAUGCUGACAUAAGUAACGAUAAAGCGGGUGAAAAGCCCGCUCGCCGGAAGACCAAGGGUUCCUGUCCAACGUUAAUCGGGGCAGGGUGAGUCGACCCCUAAGGCGAGGCCGAAAGGCGUAGUCGAUGGGAAACAGGUUAAUAUUCCUGUACUUGGUGUUACUGCGAAGGGGGGACGGAGAAGGCUAUGUUGGCCGGGCGACGGUUGUCCCGGUUUAAGCGUGUAGGCUGGUUUUCCAGGCAAAUCCGGAAAAUCAAGGCUGAGGCGUGAUGACGAGGCACUACGGUGCUGAAGCAACAAAUGCCCUGCUUCCAGGAAAAGCCUCUAAGCAUCAGGUAACAUCAAAUCGUACCCCAAACCGACACAGGUGGUCAGGUAGAGAAUACCAAGGCGCUUGAGAGAACUCGGGUGAAGGAACUAGGCAAAAUGGUGCCGUAACUUCGGGAGAAGGCACGCUGAUAUGUAGGUGAAGUCCCUCGCGGAUGGAGCUGAAAUCAGUCGAAGAUACCAGCUGGCUGCAACUGUUUAUUAAAAACACAGCACUGUGCAAACACGAAAGUGGACGUAUACGGUGUGACGCCUGCCCGG